rnacentral:misc_RNA from 1 species
AAUAAUGGAGGUAAGGACGACGGUGGGGUUUCAGUUGGCUCCACGGUCGGGUCUUUGGUGGGGUCCGCAGCCGCUGGCGUUGCACCUGGGGGCUUCUGGGCGGUGCCUGCCAGGCCUGAUUUCUGGGGUUUCGCUGCUGCAGCCCCGCCGGAAAUGGUUGUGCAGCCGGCUGCAGUGGCAGCGCCGCAGUCGGCGCUCUUCGGUCAGCAACAUGCAGCGGCAGCAGCAGCAGCAGCAGCUAUGGGAGAGGCAUCCGCGG